AUUGAACGCUGGCGGCAGGCCAAACACAUGCAAGUCGAACGGAGAAGGAGAGCUUGCUCUCCGGAUCAGUGGCGAACGGGAGAGUAACACGUGGUCAACCUGCCCCCGACUUCGGGAUAACGCUUCGAAAGAGGUGCUAAUACCGGAUACGAACUCCUUGGGCAUCCUUGGAGGUGGAAAGUUCUUCGGUCUGGGAUGGGCCCGCGGCCUAUCAGCUUGUUGGGGAGGUAACGGCUCACCAAGGCGACGACGGGUAGCCGGCCUGAGAGGGCGACCGGCCACACUGGGACUGAGACACGGCCCAGACUCCUACGGGAGGCAGCAGUGGGGAAUAUUGCGCAAUGGGCGAAAGCCUGACGCAGCAACGCCGCGUGAGGGAUGACGGCCUUCGGGUUGUAAACCUCUUUCAGCAGGGAAGAAGCGAAAGUGACGGUACCUGCAGAAGAAGCACCGGCUAACUACGUGCCAGCAGCCGCGGUAAAAC
rnacentral:rRNA from 1 species